GGGUGGAUUUCUAGCAGACACUGACAUUUUCCACUGCUUUCCCAGGCAACUCCUCACAUAAGAGAUUUGGAUUUGUACAGAGAAGAAGAAAAACUAAAAGGAACUGGUAACAGACCGGGAAGGAUCUUUUAUUCUGUCUAGAAAAUCUACAUUCGAGACUUAAGAAGGGAAAGCAGCAGACACACUGCUUGGGCUUGUGUGCCAUCUGGCUUGACCCUGAUCCCUGACAACGGGAUGGCCACUGAGUGUGAAAAGUCAGACCGCUGUGAUCUACUUCAGCUUAAAAACUGCGCCUGAUUGAAGACAGCACAAGGAACAGUACAGGAGAGAGACCAAGCACACACGUGAACGUCACAUUCAUUUGUUCUGCAGUUCCAGAAACACGCUGAGAAGAAUGAAUCCCAGCAGUCCACGGUGUGAAGAAAAGAAAUGUGGAUAGUUGCUUGCGUGAGCUGGUGUCAUUCAGGAUGAACCAUAUGAGCAAGACAGCCCUUUGCGCACUAGAGCGUGAGAACAUACUACCAGUAAAAGAAAUCACACCCUGCUCCCCCAUGAAUACCUCUCUGGUGAGUGCUGCAGGAGGGAUUGGUGAGAGCUCUGUGUCAUCAAGUGAGCAUUGGCCAUGGCCUGGUUUCCUGUGCAGAGAGCUCAUUCCUCCUGGUGUGGGACCACUGUGUGUGCCGUCCUGGGGGGAGAUGAGAAAGAGCAUAUGUGAUGCACAUGGAUGGGUAUUUUGGUUUUGGAAGGUCUGAUCGGUGGGUUGGUGAAGAAAACCAGAGAGGAGUAUCAUCUCACAUCAGUAUGACUUGAAAUCUGACAUGACUCUUACACCUUCAGUACUGUGUGUUUUCCAUGGGUUGUUUCUUGGCUUGGAGGUAGCUUUGUGAUUCUGUUUAGAUAGUCUGCUGUGCUCUGUGGAACACCAGGAGGCCUAAGAAAAAGAAACUGUUCACAGGAAAGUGAACCCGGUGACAGAUUCAUGAAGUGCAUGUCCUAGUGGCAGCGACCUCUCAAAUCCCUGCCGUGGAUCACUGUUCAGAAUAGGGAGGGUGUGAUGGAAGCGCUAACAUGGAAGUGGUCAGGCAGCCUUUGGGAAAUUAUUCCUUAUCCUUCCUCUUCGUGGCCUGGUAAAAGGAGGUACUCUGGCAUACCUCCACAGUAUUUCUAAGAGAUCGUGUUUAAGCAUCUGUACAUGAUUUUCCCCUUUGAUAGUGUUUUACUGCUAGCAGCACCGAGGUCUCCUCUUCACAAGUCAGCAAGUCAUGGAGUUGUCAGUAGUGAUUCCAACUGCUCCCAGCCUGGAACUCAGACUCAGUGCUUCCAGGAGAAGGUCAAAUGUUUGCGUAGACUAGUCUGACAUACCUCUUGUACAGUGAUUUUUCCAGUAAUAAGCACAUAGACGUGGCUUUACGUGGAUGACUACAAGGUCGUUGUCAUCUCUCAUCUCAUGGUUAUCAGUAUAAAAACACUGAGUCAUUCUGUGUAGUCAGCAUUCCUGUUGUGGGUACAGCUCUUUUUUUUUUUUUUUUUUUUGGUCCCAGUGAACCACAUUGGCUCCUCAUUACCAGAAAUCUUAAAAUACUUUGCCAACAUUUGCUGAAAUUGUCCUUCAGGUACAGUCACACAGAGGGCUCUCUUUUAUUUUCAGCCACAAGGGAAACAUCAGACUGGUCCCACAGCAGUGGGAUGUGGCCGUGGGAUGCGUGCAGAGACCAAUGCAGGGCCUUCAGGUCUACCUAAGCUCUGUGACCACAGUGCUCUAUGGUGCAUUAAUCUGUUGCAAGAGAUUCCUACGAGACUUUUUAAAACUACAUCUAAAUGUAAAGAUUCCUUACGGAUGUGAGGCAGAGUGUAACAUUUACGUUCCAACGGAUGGCUGAGGAUGAGAAUAAAGAACUGGUAGCAAAGAGGGUUGUAUCUCGAUUUUUCCAUAGAGAUGUUUUCAGGCUCUGAGAACGUGCCCGUGCGUUUGUGCUGUCAAAAAAGAAAUAAGCAGUAUGAGCUUUUCCGGGAUCAGAAACAGAUUUAGUUGUAAAUAUCUGGCAUCAGAACACCAACCCAAAACAACAAGGAAGCCUGAGGCGUUCUGUAGCGGCUAGUUACGGCAACUGCCUUGAGGAGCCUUCUAUAGAUGGCUUUAAUGUAUUGCCCUCUACCGGAACUACCGAAGAUUGCAGGCUGACGCUCAGCGCGGAGAAAUCUCUCGGGCAGGAGAGCCGUGAGAUGGAUACAAACGCGUUGUUUCACCCUGCUCAGCAGAAUCGAAUGCUUCUGGGUUUGGAAUCCAAAGAGGGGCUCGGGUUUUGUUCUGGCUUGCUGAAGGGAUAUUCAUUUCUUUGGAGAAGAAUCCGUGUAGGCAGGAGAGAGAUCCAAAGUUAUCAGCUUGCCCAGAAAAUGGGUAUUGUAUCCUUCAACUUACAGGAAAAGAAAAAAAGAAAGCUUUCUGAGUUGCAGAGGCAGAUGGGUUCAGAGCUGAUGAGAGAAUUGUUGCGUGAAACGCUGAGGAAAAGUUCUCUUUGGGUCCUUUGCCUCGGAUCAUUAUUUUUUUAUUAUUAUUAUUACUAUGUUUGCGUUCAAAAAGAAUGCAAGGCUUUCCCUUACUGAAAGGUUUUUAUUAUUAUUAUUAAUAAUAAUCAUCCAGCAGCACUCAACUGAGACCAUUUUCCCCAUUAAAGGUUUAGGUCACUCAAUGCAUACUUUGUUACUGAGAUCUAAGGAAGAAAUGAAUCCCACGUAGGUGCAUUCUUAUAUUAAAACAAGGAAGAGAUUUAAAUGUUUGGCUCAUCCUGAAUCCACAGUAAAAUCUUCAGUGUUUCUCCCACCACAGGUGCCUAAAUCCUACUGCUAUUAUUCCACGAAGCUGUUAUUCCUAUUGUCACAGCUUUGGUUGUAUGACUUGAACUUUUAAACUAAAUUAUAAAAAUAAGUCAGAAAUGUACCGAAAUGAGACCUUUUAUUGAUGCAGUUCUAACAUGGAAAGCUUGACCCAAUGCUCUGUUUAAGGAAAGUUUUGCAUGAAGCUGUGGAAGUAUUUCAUUACUGUAUGGGUGAAUUCUCCGAUUUUACACAUUGGAAUAAUCCCUUAAAAGAAAACCUGCUUUCCAUACAAGGAAUUGGAGAAUGUGUGAAUUACUCGUGGCAGCAAGCUGAAGACCUGACUUGUUUUGUGUAAAAGAUGAAAGAUCAGGUCACCACUCUUGGCCCUGUAAAACGCACUGGUUGUAGUUUCAUUGCACCCAUUUAAUUCACAGGUUUUGUAUUCUUGUUCAGCCUUAGCAAGGUCAUCCGAGCCCCUGAAAGGAAAAGAAAAAAAUAUUGAAAGGACAGAUUUAAAGAACCAAGCUAAUAGAGUUUUGUAUUUGUUGGAUUUCUCAGAAGUAAACCAGUAGAACAUCUCUAAGUAAACAAACACGUUUAGGUGUUCUUCAUUCCAAAGGCUAUUUAGCAGUCCUAUAGUACUGUCUGCAGUUUGUUGUGGCAUCCUUGCUGGAACCAAGAAUUUAUGAGUGUCAUUCUGCUCUUCUUAGCUCAAAGUGUUGAACUCUGCUUUUCGUGACUUUGAAUGAACAGGGUAAAAGCUAGGAGGACUCACCUGUAUUUUUAAGGAAGCCGUACUGAUGUUGUUUUUACCUUAGCAUUUCAUAAAGCAUAUUUUGAUUGCUGAAGUAGCUGUGAUACCCGUGUCAAUAAAAGCGUGCUAGCACGCAGUAUCUCCUUAUGCAGCGUGUCAAAGUUGGAGAUGUGUUGUGAAAGUCCCUCAAAUAUCUCUGUCCAAGGAUGAUGUAAAAAGACGCGUUUACAGAAUUUACUCCAGUGAGUUGCUCAUAGAAACAGAGAGGGGUCCUGCAAAAUUCUGGUUUGAGGCCAAAAUGCAGAACUAUCCUAGAUGUGUCUCGUUACCUAGCGGGGCGUUUUCAUAGGUGUCUUGUAUUUAUUGCAUAGGCAUCUUGUAUCUAUUGCAUCCCCUCACAGAGUAGGGAAACGGAAGGAUCUGUUCUGUCUGUUUCUUGAGCAGGGAAUGAGACUUUGCUGGAGGUAAACUGACGUGUAAAGGAAUAGCGACCUUGGCAGCCCGACAGAUGACCUUACUUCAAUUUUAGGUCCUUAACUUUUCUUUUUCUUUUUGUGAAACAAAUGUGAAGUUAAUUGUUUUACAUUAGACGUUCCAUUUGACACUGGGUGAGACUGAGGAAAACAAAAGUAACUAUGUAGCAAAUAAAGUCUACAUACUUGAUGUAUGGCACACAACAACUGUCUUCCUUCUUUCUUUUUUUGACACUGUUGCCGUUAGAGUGAAACCCUGGCAAUCUCGUGUUCACUGAAGAAGGUAUUUUCUGCUGGAGGCUGACAAAGCGAUAGAACAGUAUUCAGCCUAUUUAAUAAAAUACGAUACUUUGUUUUUGUAAUUAGUCUUUAUUGUGAAAAAUGAUAUGUAGUGCAGUUCACCUUUCUUACACUGCGUCUUACAGUGAUACGUACGUAUAGAAUACAUCUAAAUUUGCCUUUAAAAAUAAGUAAAUAAGUAAAGAUCACAGACGUAAAAUGUCUUGAGUGCGAUUACUUUAUGAACCGUGAAAAGUAAUUGAAGAUAUUUUGGUAAUGUUUUCUGCCAAGAAGCAGUUCCUGCUUUUCACCUGUGUAAAUAAGUGGGAGAUAAAGUUCAGCAGUUUUCUGUCAUCAAAACACUGUGACUGUAGGUUACACGUGGCUCCAGAGAUGUUCCAAAAGCCAGCAGAAUCUUGCUCCUCUAACGUGAGGUUUAGGCAGCAAACACAAGGUACCAUUGCUG